UUUUUUUUUUUUUUUUUUUGGUGGGGAGGGGGGUGUUAUGUUUGCGAUCUCUGCCUUGGUACCUAAGGAGGAAGAGGAGGAGGAGGAGGGUGUGUUAUUGAAUGGUGGCUAAAGCCUCCUCGGGACGGCGCUGAGGUGAAACAGGCUGAACCCGACUGAUGUGCCUCCUCUCUCGGUUGGACCCAGUGCCCUAAGCAGCCGAUGAGAGACCCCCGGCCGCCCGGCUCGCAGGUGGCACACACGAAGUGAACAGAAUGGGCCCGAUCCCACCAGCCCCUUCUUGAGAAGCCUUCAAAAAUUAUUAAAUCACACCUGAUCCAGUUAAUAAUGAAGUUAACUACUAGCAGGUACCUUUCUAAUGCUGAAAUGGGCAUACUAAUUGUGAACCGUGCGGUAAGAAGCUCCUUCUAAAAUAUGCAGUAGCUUAUUUACUGGAAUUUAACAGGCUGUGUACUUUAAAGCUUCUUUUGCCUGUAAUCACGUGAACAAACCUUACAAGUCAUAUUGCCAGCUCAAGAUUCGGCACAGUAACAGCAGCGCUGAAGCAGCCCUCGCCAUUAAGCAAGGUACAGAAGGGAGCUGGUGACCUGCGACAGGAUGACAGACCUUGCUUACCAGGAUUUGCUCACGGUUAUGUUUCUGGCAACUGACAUUUCCAUUUUAUUCAAAGCUUCUACAUCUGUGUCAUCAGGCAAAGCCCCAUGAGUCGUGGCAGAGCAAACUGUAGCCUUCAUUUUCAAGUUUGAAGAGAAAAAAAUAUUUACAUGCCUAAAUCCCAGAACCUGCUGUUCAGAGGUCAUUCUUUGUUACCCACUGCUUUAAACCAUUAAGGUUUCCAAAAGCUCUAUAAAGAAAUGGGACUUAGUUUGGGGCAGAAAAAGUCGUAUUAUUUUAAUUUUGUUUAGUUUCUUUUUUAUUGUAUCAUCUGAUUUUUGUCCUACCAGAGGAACAUGGAAGAUAGGCUGUUUCUGUCAUUGCUUACAAUGAAUGAUUGCAAGACAAAUCUCUGACCCUUCUUAAGACUGCUAUAAUCUGAAGAAGAAUGUCUUUUAAUUGGUUAGGAUUUCAGAGUUUAUUUUGUAAGGAAAAUUAUUGAUUCAUGCGAUGACUACUCCUUUACUGUUUUAUCACACUUCCAGCUCAGUAUUUCUUAUAUUCUUUUGGUUAUGAAUUUAGGCAAAUGUUUAGCUACUUGUUUUAAUGUUGCACUUCUUUUUUUUUUUUACUGUUUUAGACAUGUUUUCCUGAAUCAGAUCCUUGAAUUUAGUGACAAUUAGUACGAUUUCCAGAAAUGGACUGUCAUCAGUAAGAGUGUUGUGUACCAAGAUGUGUGAAUGUAGAUGUUAAGGGGGAGCACAAAUAAUGACUUUUUUUUUCCAUACACGGAGCAAGCACUAAGGAGUCAAGGUUAUUCACAGAAAUGAAUAAAUGCAGCCUGGAAAGGUAUUUAUUUUCCAAACUGCAAGAGGAUCUCAGAAACAAUAAGGAUAACAUAAAACCAAACUUCUAAAGAAUUUGAUUAUUUUUCUUAAAAAAAUAAUUGGAAAUAAAAAAAAAAGGGGGUUCGUAGGGAAGAAAAUCUUCAGGCAGGGAAAAAAACCAGUUGUCUGACACAGUGUUUAGAGCAGAUUGAAGGAAUAAUUCCAGGCACUGUUCUUUGCUGUUAUUGCAGAAGUGUGUAGGGCAUUUUAUCUGUCUUAGUUGCCCUAUGUGUAAAUAGAAGAUGAUAAUACCCACUUCUACCUAAUGUUGUGCAAUCUUUAGUUGCUUCACAGUGCAACAAAGAAGUGCUUCUUAGUGUAAUUAAAAAUUGCCUGUUGGACCUCAUGCUUUUGAGAUAAAAGACAGUUUGGGCUACACAUCCUGUAAGAGUUGAUUCAUUAAGUUUUUGUGAGGUGUUUUUCUUUUUCUUUUUUUUUGUUGUUUUUACCUGCUUAAUGGACUGUCUUUUGGUACCAUCUCUGGAAUAUGCAGGUCUCUGGACACUGAUAGAAGGGUGGGUUGCUGUGAAUAAGAAAGCCUUUUAGGCGUUCUGUCGUCCUCACAAAAACAUACCUAGCAUUAGAAUGGGCAUGUUUCAUAUUUCAGUUACUAAACUUUCAGGGACAUCUUUGACUAACAGCUCAAGGCGGUUAGUCAGGAACCGCCUUGUAAGUAAGGAAGACCCCUUACCUUAAGACCAAUUCAGAUUAGGUCAUACCAUGGUAUGAAAAGUAAUAUGCAAAUGCCAUGGCUUUUCCCAUUAAACAAGCAGGCUGAUUUCAUUAGUAUUUCAUGAAAGAACAAGACAAAAAAAGACUUGGAUUGUUGUGAAUCUCCUGUAGAGAAUUUUGGUGACAGAACUGUCGCCAUAUGGCUGUACAUAUUUCAUGCUACAUGAAAGGAAAUUAGUGGAACUCGUAGAAAACCUAUAUAAAAGUAAAAUAUAACAAGCAGUUUCUCCAAAGAUUAUACUGGCAGUACUGAUGGUGUCUACUCUGACGAUAGGCGUGGAGUGUGCUCAGGGUGGUGUGUCUCCUGACCCCCGCCCUGUGUUGCCAUUCUUUAGCUCUGCUCAAGACUGAGCUGUUAGGCCUGCCAACAGCCUGGAUUGCUCAACCCAUCUGUCCUGGCAACAGGCAACCUCAGGGCUCUCCUAGGAUGUGUGAUGUAUUGCCAGAAAGGUGAAUGGCUGGUUGUCACUGCAGACCUAUGCAAGGGGACUGUGUGCACCUGAGAUUUCUUCUCUUGCAUAUCCUAAACUAUGUCCUAGGCUUGACCCUGAGUGUGGCUUUAUGGUCUGACAACCAGCCUUGAAGUGUGCUCUGGCCUUGAACACAGGUCCAAGUUCAAAAGGCUAGAGACAUUAAAAAAAAUUUCAUUCUUGUUUGAAACUUCCAGUAUUUUGUGUGGGAAAGAAAACUAACUAACCAAAUACAGAUGCAAAAUGGUAUAUCAGAACAUCAAAAUUGGGAAUGCAACAUUUUGCUUUUCAGAUUAUCAAUGAAGUGACAAAGCUGUCUCUUACCUGCUGCUUUGACAGUGGUAGGCACCAGCUCACAGCUGAAGCACAGGUGUAUGAAAUGCCAGUCAUAUCACUGACACAUGCUCACCAGAUGCCACCAAAGGUAUCAGGCCCUACUGAAAAAUAAGAAUCCAUCAUUAUUAUAUCAUACAAAGGAUUGUUGGUAAAUUAAAGAUUAAAAUAGAGAUUAACCCUUGAGAAUAGCCUUUCAUUUAUUAUCUGUCUUUAAAUCUGGAGUGGCUUAAACAUAUAGGGGCAUCUUUUGGGCUUAUGUUUUAAUUGUGAAAAUGGCUAAUUUAUGUAUGGUUUAUUCAUGUUGCUAUUUUGAGUUACUUUAAUUGCAGUACUUACGUAAGUUCAGGAAGCAGAAUUUCAUUCCAUCUGGUGAUUACUUAUUUACUUACAUUAAUCAUGCAGUCAGAAAACAUAGAAUUAAAUAACUACUGAAAACUUGAACAUACUAGGGAAAUUAGUGUGACUAAACAUGUUCAUACAGAACCUGAAAAUUUCAACACACUUUAAUAAAUUAAUGUAGGAAACAAACAGCUACAAAUGCUGUGAUUUCCCUAAGAAACCUAUUUUUUUUACUAUUUCAACUGGCUUAUAUAUCAAGAGUAGAUGUACAUAAGACUGCUUUUGAAACUAUUUACAUUUUAUUAUUUUUUUGAAUUCCUGUAUUAUAUGUACUUACCAAGACUGAAGCUGUUUACUUUCACUCCACUGUGAAUCUCUAACCCAAGUUAAAUACUUUAGGAGACCUAGUAUGUUAACUUAGGGAUCAAAAAAUAUGUUUCCACUUGGUCGUAUUAGGUCUGGCAGUAAAAUAUUUUCAGACUUUAAGCAGACGUAUGACUCACCUGAGGAAGAGGUAUGUUAAACCGUUUACAAGUUGGACACUUUCCAGGUCAUGAGUCUUAACAUUCUGAUAUCUUUAAAAUCCACUAAGGUGACCUACAGACCGUUACCCUCUAGCAGAUAAUUACUCAGGAGCCUCUCCUAAAUCAACAGCAAGCCUACAAGUGGACCUCUGUACAGUGUGACAUGACCAUUCUGUCUCCUGUCCUAGGCAUGGAAGCCAUUUUGUAUUCUUAAUAAUUUAGUUUGCCUCAUAUACUGAAACUCAGAGUGAUUUAUACUGGCACAGCGUAUCAGAUUACAUCACAAAAAAGUGGUUUUGCUGUAUCGUUACGGACGUUUAGCCUAUGCAAACAACAGGUUGCAAUGCUAUUCUCUUAAAACUCCAGUGGUAUGUGAAUGUGCACAUGUGCACAGCAGAUCACUAGUUAUUGCAGUAAAGGCAGUCUCUGCUUCUGCUAUAUAUUUUCCCAACUGAUACGCUUUUUUUUUUUGAGGUUGUCAUAUGGUAUAACACUUUUACUAGUUGACUCCUCCCACUUUUCUUCAAACCACAUCCUGAUUUUUGGCCUCAGAAACCAAACAUAUGCACAACUUGCAGAACAACACAUGAUAUUGUUUCUGUAUAACAUCAUACCAGCUGGGAUAUAAAUUCUUACAGACAAUUUUAUGCGAAUGAAAAAUACCUACAUUAAGACAUUUUCCAUAGUUAUGCAAUACAUACCACAGUAGAGCAUAUGGUCUAGAGUCAGACAUCCUCACUUAGAAUUAUAACAAAAGCCCCAAGUCAGGCCUCAGACCUUCAGACAAUGUAAUUUUGAAUAGAUCAUUCUAUUUUCUCUCUAUUUUAUUUCUUCCUUUUUUCUAUUCUGUUUUGGAUUUCUGAAAUUGAACAUCAGCUAGUUUGCUGGUAUGUUGAAGACCCUUAAAUUUUAUCUAUUUGAUUUAUUGGGUGUCAAGUCCAAUAAAAUUAUUAUUUAACUAAAGAACAGCUAAUAUUUGGUGAAAUUCUAACUUAUAUCAUGAUCUGAAGACGCACCAAUAGGAAGAAUUCAUCAGGUUUUGGGCAAUUUAUUUCAACAUUUAUUUUCAGUAUUAUAAAACGGUUUUGUUUCUGAUUUGUCGGUCCUCAGCUUCCAGAUUUUUUUUUCCCUUUUGGGGAGUGUUGUGGAGCGGGUGGGGUGGUUGUUAUGUUAUUGUCCCUUCAGGAUAAAGAGUCUUUGCACAUGAGUGUUUUCUCCCAUGAUCUGUAAACUUUAAUCAAUUCACCCUCAACCCUCCUUUUUGAUAAUGAAAUGGACUGAGUUUAUACUUUCACAGCAAAUAAUUUUCUCCUGCUUUCAAAUUAAUUUUGAAUGUAAUUUUGUGAACUCUCCAUUUUUUUCCACCACCCAUUAAAAUAUGGACAGCAGAUCUAUGGGAAUUAUUCCAACAAUUGCAUCAGGAUUCAAGGAUUACAUUAGCUCUGUUCAUGCAGCUUCACAGUGGGAGCUCAUGUUGAGUUGCUGGUCCACUAUGGCCCAUAAAUCCUUGCAGAGUCAAGGCAUUCAAAGGCACUGUACCCCAUUUUUUGGGGUGAAAUUCCUUUGUAUUGAUGUAUAACUUUGCAUUCAUCUCUCCUAAUAUUAAUUUUUUCAGUGGGUCUAGCUUGUCAAGAGCUCUCUUCCUUGAUCUCAUCAUUAUGUACUACUCAAGUAAUCUUUCCGUCAUCCUCAGGUCCUUAACAUGGUAAUUUUUAUAUACACCUCCAGAUCACUGCUGGGAAUACUGAAUAGCAUUGGGCCUAGUGCUGAUCCCUGCUGGGUACCAUUAGAAACAAUUCAGUAAUAAUUUUCUUUUUAAGGUAUCUUUUUAUGAUCUGCUGAACACUGACGCUAUGUAGUAGAUAUUUUUCUUAAUAAAGAUAUCAUGCAGUAUUACAAAAUUUCAUUCUGCAUUUAUCAAUUAGAUCAACAGAAUAUAAGCACCCCAUAGACAGGUGGAAAGAAUUGGUUGACCAUGUAGCAAACAAAACUCCCAGGAUUAAUAUUCUUCAAUUUUCUCUGCACAUGUAACUUCAUUUCACCUUUUCAAAACACUUCAUAUCUAAAUAAUACUGUUCAUGUUUCAGAACUGGAGGGAUUCUGGUUUGCCUGACAUAUCUACCUUAAUAUGUGUAGGGGCUUUCUGAAUUUAUUGAAAUUGCCUUUGGGAAGCUUACAAAACUGAUGCCAGACACUGGAGCAUGCACUUUCUUCAGUUGUUUUUAACACAUUUUGCUAACAGUUUA